GGUGAGUAACACGUGGGCAAUCUGCCCUGCACUCUGGGACAAGCCCUGGAAACGGGGUCUAAUACCGGAUACUGACCCGCUUGGGCAUCCAAGCGGUUCGAAAGCUCCGGCGGUGCAGGAUGAGCCCGCGGCCUAUCAGCUUGUUGGUGAGGUAAUGGCUCACCAAGGCGACGACGGGUAGCCGGCCUGAGAGGGCGACCGGCCACACUGGGACUGAGACACGGCCCAGACUCCUACGGGAGGCAGCAGUGGGGAAUAUUGCACAAUGGGCGAAAGCCUGAUGCAGCGACGCCGCGUGAGGGAUGACGGCCUUCGGGUUGUAAACCUCUUUCAGCAGGGAAGAAGCGAAAGUGACGGUACCUGCAGAAGAAGCGCCGGCUAACUACGUGCCAGCAGCCGCGGUAAUACGUAGGGCGCGAGCGUUGUCCGGAAUUAUUGGGCGUAAAGAGCUCGUAGGCGGCUUGUCACGUCGGUUGUGAAAGCCCGGGGCUUAACCCCGGGUCUGCAGUCGAUACGGGCAGGCUAGAGUUCGGUAGGGGAGAUCGGAAUUCCUGGUGUAGCGGUGAAAUGCGCAGAUAUCAGGAGGAACACCGGUGGCGAAGGCGGAUCUCUGGGCCGAUACUGA
rnacentral:rRNA from 1 species